CUUUCCCCUGGUUUUGUGUCAUGCCUUUUAGACUGCAAUCCUGCAGACAGGAACUGCUGGUUCUUAUUGAUCUUCUGGAAGUUGCCCUGGGAGCCUUACAGAAGAGCAAGCUGGAAGCAUUGUUGGGAUCAAAUAGAAGGAAGAGAUGAAUGCACCCUUUGGCUGCUGCAGCUUGAUGGAAAUGACAGAAGGCUGGGGCAAAACAACAACAACAACAACGGAGCAAGUAUCCAUGAGGAGUUCUGUUUGAAUAUGCUGGGGCAAUAAGCCUCACUUCGGUGAAGAAUGGGCCUCCAUGAUAUAUUUUGCUCAGCUAACUGCUUGCUACAGAGCCCCUUUCAGCUAUAAAACCAUCCAGUAGAAACAUGAAGAAAGCCAGCUUUCUGAGGUCAUAUCCAGGACCUAUGUUCUAUAGGAUCUUUAGAGCUGACCCAGUCAAGAUCUCAUAUUGUUCUCUGACCACCCGACGAACAAGAUUGAUUAGGCUUACGAAUAUAUAUUUCCUGAAGUUUCUCUGCAGAAAGCCUCCAGUCUGUCAUCAUUGCCAACUGUCAUACACCACUGCUAAAGUCAGAAUGUUCUGUAAUGAUCACUCUCUGACCACAUUUGCACUCUACAGCUCUGUCUGUACUCACAAUGGGCCCAAACAGUUGAAAAUACAUUGUUUACCUAAUUGCCUAUUAUGUCAAAUGAAUUUAAAAAAGCAAAGGAUUCUCACUUUUAAAAUCUGAAUA